GACGAACGCUGGCGGCAGGCUUAACACAUGCAAGUCGAGCGAAGACUUCGGUCUUAGCGGCGGACGGGUGAGUAACGCGUGGGAACAUACCCUUUGCUACGGAACAGUCCCGGGAAACUGGGUUUAAUACCGUAUACGCCCUUCGGGGGAAAGAUUUAUCGGCAAAGGAUUGGCCCGCGUUGGAUUAGGUAGUUGGUGGGGUAAAGGCCUACCAAGCCGACGAUCCAUAGCUGGUUUGAGAGGAUGAUCAGCCACACUGGGACUGAGACACGGCCCAAACUCCUACGGGAGGCAGCAGUGGGGAAUAUUGGACAAUGAGCGCAAGCUUGAUCCAGCCGAGCCGCGUGAGGGAAAACCUCUCUAAAAGUGAACUGAGAUGAUAUAGUUAUGUUUAAAACCGAAAUCUAACUAAUGGAGAGGUGGGAAAACUAACCGGGUUGUAAACCUCUGAUUUAAAAGAAGAUGAUGACAUACUUUUAAGGAAAAGUCCCGGCAAACUCCGUGCCAGCAGCCGCAGUAACAC
rnacentral:rRNA from 1 species